rnacentral:rRNA from 1 species
UACGUAGGGUGCAAGCGUUGUCCGGAAUUAUUGGGCGUAAAGAGCUCGUAGGCGGUUUGUUGCGUCGGCUGUGAAAUCCCGAGGCUCAACCUCGGGUCUGCAGUCGAUACGAGCAAACUAGAGUGUUGCAGGGGAGACUGGAAUUCCUGGUGUAGCGGUGAAAUGCGCAGAUAUCAGGAGGAACACCGGUGGCGAAGGCGGGUCUCUGGGACGGUACUGACGCUGGAGACGGCGAAAGCGUGGGGAGCGAACAGG